ACCUCAGUAACGGCGAGUGAAGCGGUAACAGCUCAAAUUUGAAAUCUGGCCUCACGGUCCGAGUUGUAAUUUGUAGAGGAUGCUUCGAGCAUGGUCUGGCCUAAGUUCCUUGGAACAGGACGUCAUAGAGGGUGAGAAUCCCGUAUGCGGCCAGGUGCCUACGCUCAUGUGAAGCUCCUUCGACGAGUCGAGUUGUUUGGGAAUGCAGCUCAAAAUGGGUGGUAAAUUUCAUCUAAAGCUAAAUAUUGGCCAGAGACCGAUAGCGCACAAGUAGAGUGAUCGAAAGAUGAAAAGCACUUUGGAAAGAGAGUUAAACAGUACGUGAAAUUGUUGAAAGGGAAGCGCUUGCAACCAGACUUGCGCGCGGCUGAUCAUCCGGUGUUCUCACCGGUGCACUCGGCCGUGCUCAGGCCAGCAUCGGUUUUGGCGGCUGGAUAAAGGCCCUAGGAAUGUGGCUCCUCUCGGGGAGUGUUAUAGCCUAGGGUGCAAUGCAGCCUGCUGGGACCGAGGACCGCGCUUCGGCUAGGAUGCUGGCGUAAUGGUUGUAAGCGGCCCGUCUUGAAACACGGACCAAGGAGUCUAACAUCUAUGCGAGUGUUUGGGUGUCAAACCCAUACGCGUAAUGAAAGUGAACGGAGGUGAGAACCCUUAAGGGUGCAUCAUCGACCGAUCCUGAUGUCUUCGGAAGGAUUUGAGUAAGAGCAUAGCUGUUGGGACCCGAAAGAUGGUGAACUAUGCCUGAAUAGGGUGAAGCCAGAGGAAACUCUGGUGGAGGCUCGCAGCGGUUCUGACGUGCAAAUCGAUCGU
rnacentral:rRNA from 1 species